rnacentral:tRNA from 1 species
GCCGCCGUGGCGGAGCCGCGCACGGUCGAGCAGAUCCGCGAUCUGCUGGCGCUGGCCCAUGAGCGCGGCUGGUCCGUGAUCAGCCGCGGCGGCGGCACC